rnacentral:rRNA from 1 species
AAUCAACGCUGGCGGCGUGCCUCAGACAUGCAAGUCGAACGAUUAAAGCUCUCUUCGGAGAGUGCAUAAAGUGGCGCACGGGUGAGUAACACGUAAGUAAUCUACCUUCGAGUGGGGAAUAACGUCCGGAAACGGACGCUAAUACCGCAUAACGCAGCGGCAUCGCAAGAUGACAGUUGUUAAAGAUUUAUCGCUUGAAGAGGAGCUUGCGGCAGAUUAGCUUGUUGGUAAGGUAACGGCUUACCAAGGCUACGAUCUGUAUCCGGUCUAAGAGGACGGUCGGACACACUGACACUGAAUAACGGGUCAGACUCCUACGGGGAGCAGCAGUCGGGAAUUUGGGCAAUGGGGGAAACCCUGACCCAGCAACGCCGCGUGAAGGAUGAAGUAUUUCGGUAU